rnacentral:rRNA from 1 species
GACGAACGCUGGCGGCGUGCUUAACACAUGCAAGUCGAACGGAAAGGCCCUGCUUUUGUGGGGUGCUCGAGUGGCGAACGGGUGAGUAACACGUGAGUAACCUGCCCUUGACUUUGGGAUAACUUCAGGAAAAUGGGGCUAAUACCGGAUAGGAGCUCCUGCUGCAUGGUGGGGGUUGGAAAGUUUCGGCGGUUGGGGAUGGACUCCCGGCUUAUCAGCUUGUUGGUGGGGUAGUGGCUUACCAAGGCUUUGACGGGUAGCCGGCCUGAGAGGGUGACCGGCCACAUUGGGACUGAGAUACGGCCCAGACUCCUACGGGAGGCAGCAGUGGGGAAUAUUGCACAAUGGGCGGAAGCCUGAUGCAGCAACGCCGCGUGCGGGAUGACGGCCUUCGGGUUGUAAACCGCUUUCGCCUGUGACGAAGCGUGAGUGACGGUAAUGGGUAAAGAAGCACCGGCUAACUACGUG